GCCCAGGUGGUGGAAUGGUAGACACGUUGGACUUAAAAUCCAAUGGCCAUUACGGCCGUGCGGGUUCAAGUCCCGCUCUGGGUAC
rnacentral:tRNA from 1 species